GAUCUUUAUUGAUGGUGAAUAAGUUGUGGUUUCAUUUGUUUUUAUUCUUGUUUGGUUUGCUCUUUUGUAAAGGUCUCAGUGAUAAUUUUAUGUAUUAUUAAUUAGUUGUAGUUUAAUAAUGAUCUCUUUGAUUGUGGAUUCAUCAUUUUUAUCAACAAACUUGCUUAGUACUUUGUGAUAAUAUGGCUUAAAAUUUUGAGCCAAUCACUUUUUUUUUAAUCAAAAGUAUUGGAUAUUUUAUUGUGAAAAAAAAAAAGUAAAUAAUACAUUUGUUUAUGAGACCAGAAUACAAACAUAGUAGAAAAUUAAGAUAUUUCCAAUUGAAAGUAGAAUCAGGCAAAAAACUUAGAAAAAAAAAACAUAAAAUAAAAAAGUGAAUUAAAAAAAUUGGUAGUGGUGUCUCUGGUCCUUAAAGAAUUCGUUAUUUUGGAUAGAAUUUUUCUAAUUAUUACGUUGCCUUCAAAUAUCUAACGACUUCGAUCGAUCCAUACUCCCUAAAGAAUAUUCUUGAAGUUUGGUUGUUUCAUUAAUAUUUUCCCAAGUUUUAUCCACCAUUGCUAAGGUUGAAACUGUAAGUUUGGGGAUCAAGCUGUUCAAAGAAAAAGGUCAAUUGGGGGUGGAAGAAGUGAUAUGCUUUGGAGUAUUCCGAUUUGACAGUAUAUUGUUCUAAAUUAUUUAGAGUUCAGGUUCUAGUUUCCAGAUGUAUCUAGAAGUUGUUUCACUCAGAAGAGAUCAAGGUUUCUAGCUUCACUGGGACAGAGUCUGAAAGGGGAGUUUAAAUCCAACUAUGGGUCAUUUAUGAGCUUUAUAGAUCCCUGUUUUGACAUUUGCUAUUUAACAUAUUUUUCAAGCACCGUCCUUCCUUCCAGGAGGUUUCUCCAGGUCCAGGAUGGUCUAUUUCCUGCUUGAGUGUUUAAGAACGAGAUAAGCAUGAAGUAUUUAUUUUUGUAUAUCUUAUAGAAGAGUGAAUGUGGUUUUGUUAGUAGUCGUCAACCUUGUUUGACUAACAUUGCUAGGUUGAAGGCCUUUAAAUCUUUAAAACCCAUGCAUCCUUCAUCUUUUGGUCUACUCAAAGUAUCCCAACCAAUUCAAUGUAAUUUUCGUUCAUUUUAUCUUUGACUCCAUAAAAAAAUUAUCAUUAUUUUCUGCAAUUCAUCAAUUAGAGAUUCUAGAAGCUUAAAACAACUUAGUGUGUAGAUUGGAAUGAUUGUCUUUACAGCUUUUAUCAGUAUUUCUCUUCCACUAGCCGACAAAAAAAGAACGUUUCCAGUGAUUCAACUUUUUUGCAACUUUGUCUUUGACAUAAGCAAAGGUCUCUCUUUGAUCUCAUGACGGUAGAAGAUAAUCCUAGAUAUUUGUCUUGUGCACCCACAUUAGAGAUACCUAAUACGUUGGUCAGGUCUUGUUUACUCUACUGAGGAGUAUUUUUACUGAAGAAAAUUGUAGAUUUAUUAAGGUUUAUUCUCUGACCACUGAGAUCACCAUAAACUCGUAGAGUAUUCAUUAAGUUUGUACAGUUGAAUUGGUUUGCUUAACAAAAAAGAAGCAAGUCAUCUGCAAAUAGUAAAUGAUUAAUAGAAGGGAAUCUAUUGUUCAAGUAAAGUCCCUGAAAUAGGUUAUUCUGUUCUUCUUUAUGGAACAAAAAAGAAAAACUUUCUGCACAUAGUAGAAAUAGAUAAAGGGAGAGAGGAUCUCCUUGACAAAACCCUCUAAAUAGUUUAAAAAAACAAUAGGAAAACCAUCCACGACAAUAGAAUAAGAGAUAGUGGACACACAUUCUUUCAUCCAAUUAAUCCAUUUAUCAGAAAAACUCAACUUUUUCAUAACAAACCACACAAGGUUCCAUUUCACCUUAUCAUAGGCUUUACUCGUCGCAAUAUUUAAAGCUAAAUCAUAAUCACCAUAGCUUUUAGAUUUAAGAAAGUGCAUGGAUUCAUGAGCUACAAUAAUGAUAUCACUAAUAAGUCGUCCUUGGAUAAAAGUGCUCUAAUUGUCAUUAAUAAUUCUAAUCAUGGGAGGCUGGAGUCUAUGUACUAAGAUUUUAGAGAUAAUUUUAUAGAAAAUCGUACUCAAGCUGACGGGACUAAUAUGAUUCAUAGA